CUUGGUCAUUUAGAGGAAGUAAAAGUCGUAACAAGGUCUCCGUUGGUGAACCAGCGGAGGGAUCAUUACUGAGUACUACACUCUCUACCCUUUGUGAACUAUUAUACCUGUUGCUUCGGCGGCGCCCGCAAGGGUGCCCGCCGGUCUCAUCAGAAUCUCUGUUUUCGAACCCGACGAUACUUCUGAGUGUUCUUAGCGAACUGUCAAAACUUUUAACAACGGAUCUCUUGGCUCCAGCAUCGAUGAAGAACGCAGCCCCCCGUGCCCCCGCCCCGCCCGCCGCGCGCGGCGGCGA
rnacentral:rRNA from 1 species